rnacentral:misc_RNA from 1 species
GGUAUAUAAACUCCGCAGAUUACCAAUGGAUAAUGGCAAAGUUAUGACUCCAAACACAAGCACUUUGCUUUAUUAUCCAUUCCAGUAUGUUUCAGUGCAAGAUAUCUCAAAUGAAUCAAAUGCCCAAUUCCAUAGGUAUGUAGUAGUGAUAUAUAUAGUCAAUUUUUAAAACUCUUAGCAGCCUAAAAUUCUCAAAAAUAAACUUUAGUUGCUGCCUUCUCAUAUAAUACCCACUACUUCCAUAUUCAAAGCCACCACCGAGUUUCUGUCUCACUACAUCAAGCAUACCAUGUUCAAUGAAAUAGAAUAGAGAACGGAGAUGUGAAUCACCAUUUUUUAAGGAAGGUACACAGAACUUACUUUUGCUUCCACCUUUCCCAGUAAUGCGAGGAUGAAUAGCAAUUCUACGCCACU